CAGCAGCCACGGUAACACAGAGGGUGCGAGCGUUAAUCGGAUUUACUGGGCGUAAAGCGUGCGUAGGCGGCUUUUUAAGUCGGAUGUGAAAUCCCUGAGCUUAACUUAGGAAUUGCAUUCGAUACUGGGAAGCUAGAGUAUGGGAGAGGAUGGUAGAAUUCCAGGUGUAGCGGUGAAAUGCGUAGAGAUCUGGAGGAAUACCGAUGGCGAAGGCAGCCAUCUGGCCUAAUACUGACGCUGAGGUACGAAAGCAUGGGGAGCAAACAGGAUUAGAUACCCGUGUAGUCCCUGUCUCUUAUAC
rnacentral:rRNA from 1 species